rnacentral:misc_RNA from 1 species
AGAACACAGGAAUCAUGCAUACCAUCAAAUGGUCAUUAAUUCAACACUUAGCAUCACCAGAGACACAAGUAUACUAGCUGAAAUGAGCAGGGAUUAUUUCACUUAUCAAGACUUGCUGAUUGAGUUGUUUGAUUAAAUUGUAUUGCAAUCCAGCAACAACUAUGUUUGUCUGAUGGAAGUGUAGUUUAAGAACAACGUAAUCAAUGCACUAAAAGAUAAA